rnacentral:rRNA from 1 species
ACGAACGCUGGCGGCGUGCUUAACACAUGCAAGUCGAACGGAGAUUAUUAAUGAAGCUUGCGAUUUAAUAAUCUUAGUGGCGGACGGGUGAGUAACGCGUGGGCAACCUACCCAUAAGCGGGGGAUAACAGUCGGAAACGACUGCUAAUACCGCAUAAGCUAUUAAGGUCGCAUGACCUAAAUAGUAAAGGUGGCAUUUUAACAGUGCUAUCACUUAUGGAUGGGCCCACGUCUGAUUAGCUAGUUGGUGGGGUAGCAGCCUACCAAGGCAACGAUCAGUAGCCGGCCUGAGAGGGUGGACGGCCACACUGGGACUGAGACACGGCCCAGACUCCUACGGGAGGCAGCAGUGGGGAAUAUUGCGCAAUGGGGGAAACCCUGACGCAGCGACGCCGCGUGAGCGAAGAAGGCCUUAGGGUCGUAAAGCUCUGUUGUAAGGGACGAAUGUUUGUCUGGCGAACAGUCAGAUAAAGUGACGGUACCUUACCAGCAAGCCCCGGCUAACUACGUG